rnacentral:lncRNA from 1 species
UGGAGAGGAUGGUCUACUACGGAAUAGUAACAAAAAUGUCACCAACUUUGGUCCACUACAAAGAAACACAUGGGACUCCAUGUACCAAUCAGUGGCAUGAUAGGUUCCAAGUUUAAUUGACGCUCUAGAACACAUUGGCAAGUUACAAGCUGUAGACUGUGGAAGCGUCGGACCAAUUUCGGAAUCACUGGCUCCUAGUUGAAGCCAGUAACAGGUUGGAGUUUACAAACUCCAUGAUUCAUGCUACC